rnacentral:tmRNA from 1 species
GGGGGCGACACGGCUUCGACGCGUGAACCGGAAGCCGCGGAAGCGUGCCGAGGUGCCCGGGGCCUCGUUAAACACCGGGAAACCUUUAGGUGCCAACGACGGUUUGGCUCUGGCUGCGUAAACCUGCGUAGCCCGUCCCCGAGAGAUCCGGGCCCGAGGACCUCCCGACGGACGUCGAUGAAUCGGGCUGGUCACCCGGGCGCGCCGUGAGCCGCGGGUGACGAGAGCACGGCGAGAGCCGCGUACACGGCUGGUUUCGCAAGGGGUUGUUCGUGAACCCUCGUGGGACGAGACUCGAUCACGAACUACGCACGUAGAUGCCGUGGCGGAUGGGCUCGCGGACGCGGGUUCGAUUCCCGCCGCCUCCAUCA